CCCAUUACAUGAAUAAAUUAUGUUCAAUAAUUUGGUAUUCAUUAAUUCUUAUUUGUUAGAGGCUUAGAGCACACCUUUUUCUUUUGUGCACUGAUUGGGAUCUUGUUCUUGCCGGGACACCAGCCUUCAUACCUGAAAAAGUACCAAUGUCAAAGCAAGUACUGUCUCCUAGUGAGAAGCAUGCUGAUUCAGAGGUACCUGAUCUUCCUUGCUAGCCCCUUUAUAAGCAGUAAGCUCAAAAGCUAAAAAGUGAAGCAAUCUCAAUGCUGCUUGCAUUUGAAGGUUUCUUUAUUGUUGUUGUUGUUAAAUUAUGUAAAGCUGUCUCCACUGGAUAAAUGGAAAUGAUGACAAACUGUAAGCUUGCUCUUCAAAACAUUCUUCGGCAGUUUUAGCAUAUUUAGAAGAACUUUUUAUUUUUUGGGGAUCUUUAAGCACUUGCGAUCAUCAAUUUAAAUCCAACAACACAAAUUAAGAAGACCCCAAGUUGUGAUUUCACAUGCAAAAAACUAUAAAAAAAAAGAAUGAAAAAGCAAACAAAAUGAAGUAAGGUGGUUAAUUAACAGAAAAGGUGAAAAUGCGCUUAGUUGUUAAUUACUCAUUUCGCAUGAUCAGUAAUGCAUCAAAUAAUCAAUCAAUCAAUAUAUAUUAGAAAAGAGCAAGGGUUAUGAUAGUCACUUGCUGAGGUGUCACACUACAAAAAAAAACAUGAUUUAGUGGGGGUUAUUUAGCGGGGGUUUUAACAACCCCCGCAGAUUACAUUAAUUUUCAUUACUUAGGGGAGGUUUUAAUAACCCCCGCAAAAAAUUACGUUAUUAAACUCUCCCAAUUUUCACUCUCUGAACUCUCAUCUCACUCUCACUCUGAACUCGUUUCUCAUUCUCACUCUCACGAUUGCAACCUGAUUCGUUAACCAUGGAAGCUCCUGAAUCCUUUCCACCGAUUUGAUCUCUCGAUUUCCACCGAUUGCAACCUGAUUUGAUCUCUCAAUUUCCACCGAUUUCAACCUGAUUCACUCUCGAUUUCUUCUGAUUCGACUCUCAAUUUCACUCUCCUGAUUCCACUCUCGAUUAAACCCUAAAAAUCUACUCUCGAUUCUCUUCAUGAUUCCUCAAUCUCCAGUGUUUCACGAGAAAACGCUCAAUCUCUGCUUCACUUGCAUUUUCCUGGUAAGAACUCAACUCCACUUCCGUAUGAGUUUCAAUUUUGCUUCUGAUUUUGAGUUUUGUUUCUCUUUGGAAUCACAAAUUAGGCAGAAAUUCUCUGGAGCUGGAACCUAGACAUUGUUAGGAGCUUAGGAGCUGGAAGUCAUGCCAAGGUUCAAGCGUUUCCACAACCCACAAAAAUCAGCGUCUGGAUCAUCAACUGAAGCUUCUUCACAAUCAGCUCCUGAAGUCUCUCAAAAAGCCCCACCAUCGAAGAACCCCGUGAGUACACCAUCUUGGAAUGUUGAAGCAAUAGAAGAUGUGUACCGACCUAUGCUGUAAGCAAUAGCAUAUACCUUGAGAAUGAAAGAAAUUAAGACCAGUAGUGCAUCCAAUAAACACAUGCUUCUUAUCCAGGAGUUAAGGUUCUUUACUUAACUCUGUUUUAUCUUUCAAAGACUCAAACAGGGAAAUUGAUGGAUGUAAAUUUUCUCUCUUUGUUUCUACUUUCUACUGUUGUUACUUAUCUGAAAGGUUUCUAGAAAGUUUCUUGCUAUAAUCUCAGUUUCUCAAGUUUUCAUUUUCAGGUUGUAUGCAGUACUCUCCAAAAUAUAUCAUUGAUUUCUUUCCUAAUUGGUAUUACUCUAUUUGGAUGGGCAACCAAGCAAGUUAUAAAUGUUAUUCAGGUUGGUUCAUGAUACAUUUAUGCUUGAUAUUUAGAUGAUGAUUGAUGAGGUGUUGUAUAAUGUAUCUAUCUAGUUUUUUAACCAACCCCUACCCCAUAAUGAAAUGAGGAAGAAGAAGAGAAGCAAAGCAUGUAAGGGAAGAAAAGAAAAUCCAAACUCCAAAGAAAACCGAGCGGAACUUAAUAGUCUAUAUUUUUCAGUUUGGAAUAUUCAUCUUGACAGAGUAAUAGGAAAUUUGUAACCUUUGAGUUCCUGUAAUCUGAACUUUCUUUUAGCAUGACUCAGGAACUUCAUAUUGUGACCUGAUAAUUGGCUUCAAAGAUUGUUUUUUACAUUCUAGCUAUAGGCUUUCUUGGAUUGAAAGUUGUGUAUGGGUUAUUUUGGAUUGUAAGUUGUCUAUGGGUUUGUUUCUUUAAUUGAAGUGUUUUGUUAUUUUGGAUUAUGAGGUUAAAAAUGUUCCUAGAAUAUAUUAUAGGCUGUAAAUAAUCUCUUGCAUUUAAGGGAGGUUUAAAACUCCCGUUAAAAAAGCUUGCGGAUAAGGGAGGUUUAAAACCCCCACUAAAAA